GGGUUGUGAGGUUAAGCGACUAAGCGUACACGGUGGAUGCCCUGGCAGUCAGAGGCGAUGAAGGACGUGCUAAUCUGCGAUAAGCGUCGGUAAGGUGAUAUGAACCGUUAUAACCGGCGAUUUCCGAAUGGGGAAACCCAGUGUGAUUCGUCACACUAUCAUUAACUGAAUCCAUAGGUUAAUGAGGCGAACCGGGGGAACUGAAACAUCUAAGUACCCCGAGGAAAAGAAAUCAACCGAGAUUCCCCCAGUAGCGGCGAGCGAACGGGGAGCAGCCCAGAGCCUGAAUCAGUGUGUGUGUUAGUGGAAGCGUCUGGAAAGGCGCGCGAUACAGGGUGACAGCCCC
rnacentral:rRNA from 1 species